CUGUGACAAAUACUUUGAGGAUUGGACAUAGGAUUGAGAUAUAAUUGUCUUUGUAGCACCGCUAUCAAAUAAAGUCAAAACAUUUUUGCCAUCAGUUUCCUACCUAACACCGGGUUUCCUCUGGAGCUUUUAUUGCAAAUCAAAAAUUAACAGACUCACCGAAAGCAUAAACAAAGUGAAACGCCAUUCUACUGUAGAUGUUUUUUCGAUCUACAAAUGAACUGAAGCACACUUUGCCUUGUUAACACUACAUGUAUCCGCCAUGCAUAAUCUGUACUGGACGUUUUUACUGCUAACAGUGCCCCUGGUAACAGUAGACAGUGUUACCGUUAUAAAAAACAAUGAAAGUAUCAUAGCAGAAGCCAUUAUACAAAACCUUGGACUGUCAACAAGUCGACCCGUACUCGACCCGAAUACAGUAAUCAAUGUAACGCUAGAAUUUAUGUUAAUUCGAAUUAUA